rnacentral:rRNA from 1 species
CAUGGGGGAAUAUUGCACAAUGGGCGCAAGCCUGAUGCAGCCAUGCCGCGUGUAUGUAAGAAGGCCUUCGGGUUGUAAAGUACUUUCAGCAGUGAGGAAGGUGGGUAUGUUAAUAGCAUACUCAUUUGACGUUAGCUGCAGAAGAAGCACCGGCUAACUCCGUGCCAGCAGCCGCGGUAAUACGGAGGGUGCGAGCGUUAAUCGGAAUUACUGGGCGUAAAGCGCAUGCAGGUGGUUUGUUAAGUCAGAUGUGAAAGCCCGGGGCUCAACCUCGGAAUUGCAUUUGAAAACUGGCAAACUAGAGUACUGUAGAGGGGGUAGAAUUUCAGGUGUAGCGGUGAAAUGCGUAGAGAUCUGAAGGAAUACCGGUGGCGAAGGCGGCCCCCUGGACAGAUACUGACACUCAGAUGCGAAAGCGUGGGGAGCAAACAGGAUUAGAUACCCUGGUAG